rnacentral:sRNA from 1 species
UGACUUCAUAAAAAGAGAUGGUUCUCAAU